CACAUCGAACGCAGAGGGUGUGGGUCUUAUUCCUCCUCUUCCCAAAGCUUCCUGUCCCUUUCCCCAUUUCUUCUCUAGCUGCAGCGACCCGCCGAUAGAAAUGGUGAGCGGAGAAAAGUUGCGGCAAAUCGAGGUUGAGGUAUUUAUAUGUAGGGUUUUGAGAAUGGACAGAGUUGCGUUAGGGAGUGGCCAUGGAUGAUUAGGUCUGUCUUUAUGGGCCUGCAAUUAGG
rnacentral:misc_RNA from 1 species